UAGAGUUAUGAAAAAUUGUGGAGGCUACACCAGACUGACCAGAGAAUGUCGUAGCAAAGGGCCAUCCAACACCAUCUAGAA
rfam:Cajanus cajan CcLG10_153, whole genome shotgun sequence.